UACGUAGGGGGCUAGCGUUGUCCGGAUUUAUUGGGCGUAAAGAGCGUGUAGGCGGCCAGAUAGGUCCGUUGUGAAAACUGGAGGCUUAACCUCCAGCUGUCGAUGGAAACCAUCUGGCUAGAGUCCGGAAGAGGAGAGUGGAAUUCCCGGUGUAGCGGUGAAAUGCGCAGAUAUCGGGAAGAACACCCGUGGCGAAGGCGGCUCUCUGGAACGGUACUGACGCUGAGACGCGAAAGCGUGGGGAGCGAACAGG
rnacentral:rRNA from 1 species